CAAGAACAGGUGUGCUAGCGGGCAUUUUGAACUGAUAUUUCGUUUCAGCUAGCAAGAAAACCAAGUUGGAAUAACUGCUCUCUGCCACCUCAUGAAGCCGUUACCUCAACAUGGAGUUGAUUCUUGGACUAAAUUGAGCAGAAAACCUGAAGAAGUGCUGCUGUUUGGUCUGGUUUGUUUUUGCUGCUUGUUGGAUGGAGGUCCAGUUAGCUGAAGAUACAUGAGAUAUCACUAAACACAGAGGCACCACAGCGGGGCAGCAGGAGGACACAGGAUCCAGGGGAGGAGGUGCAGCUCGAUGUCUGGCCUUGUCUAAGACAAAUUUCUCCUACGGGAGACAAUGAAGUGAACUUGAACUUGAUGUUUGUCACAGUCUUUGAGUUCAGAUGUUAUCCAGCCUGGUCUUUCUGGACUUCUACAGAUUCUUGAUUGGAUUCAGGUGCCACUUACUUUGACAAGGCUCCCCAGCUAAAAAGCAUUAUUACCACCACUAUAUUUGACUGUAGGAUGGUGUUCUUGAGGUGGCCUAUGUCUCCUGUUUUUCUCCAAAUUAAAGCCACAUCAAUCUGUCCAAAC
ensembl:lncRNA